rnacentral:rRNA from 1 species
GCCCAGACCACCAGCUAAGGUCCCAAAAUAUAUGUUAAGUGGAAAAGGAUGUGGCGUUGCCCAGACAACUAGGAUGUUGGCUUAGAAGCAGCCAUCAUUUAAAGAGUGCGUAAUAGCUCACUAGUCGAGUGACACUGCGCCGAAAAUGUACCGGGGCUAAACAUAUUACCGAAGCUGUGGAUUGUCCUUUGGACAAUGGUAGGAGAGCGUUCUAAGGGCGUUGAAGCAUGAUCGUAAGAACAUGUGGAGCGCUUAGAAGUGAGAAUGCCGGUGUGAGUAGCGAAAGACGGGUGAGAAUCCCGUCCACCGAUUGACUAAGGUUUCCAGAGGAAGGCUCGUCCGCUCUGGGUUAGUCGGGUCCUAAGCUGAGGCCGACAGGCGUAGGCGAUGGAUAACAGGUUGAUAUUCCUGUACCACCUAUAAUCGUUUUAAUCGAUGGGGGGACGCAGUAGGAUAGGCGAAGCGUGCGAUUGGAUU